ensembl:lincRNA
GCCUUCGAGUUUCUCUCAGCAAGACCUCUAACUCUAAGGAAUUAAAAGAUAAUCAUGAUGAACCUUGACUGAAAGACAGGAUGAGGCCGCCGAGUUCUCCACUGAGGCCCAGUGGUCUUUACAUGCAACAUCUGUAUCUCUGUCCACACUCCACUAUACCUCCAGGAUGUCCUCCUUCGACUGAGAAGAGCCCUGUCCUACAAGCAUGCUAAGCACCAGGCCGGUUGCUCUUACCUGCCUCCCUCAGAUGAGCCGACUCCCAGAUCUUUGGCAUUGUGGUAGCAGGUUGGCUGGGGCUGAGAACUGAACUCUCUUGGGAAAACCA